rnacentral:lncRNA from 1 species
UUUAAGGAAAAAGUGCUACUCAAAAUCAAUACAGAGGGUUCAAUCCUAGUCAAAUGCACACAAAUGCUCACAUUCACAAAUAAAUCAAGUUAUUGAACUCUAGUUAAAAAUAUAAAAUAAGGCGUAUGAAAACAAUUAAGCAUCACAGAAGCAAGAAAAUGUCCACAGCUUCCCUCCCAUUCUUUCAUUCUUUGUUCAUAUGUAUUUGAAAGAGAUCGAAAGGCUGGAAGGAAGAUAGACAUGAGUUUUAGAUCUAGCGGCGCGUAUCGAGUCUCAAAACAAGACUCUUGUGACAAGCGAAAGUGUUUAUGAACAUUCCAUUCAUGCUCCCAAAGUGUACAUGUAAAAAGAAAAGGAAAUAAAAAAAAUUAAACAAAGUGAUUUAAUUCUCAACAAAUAUUUACAACAAAAUAAGCUAACAAAGUUAUAACAACACACAACAUUACACUUUUGAUAACAUGAAACAAAGCAACUUUGUACCAUCCAUAACUAAAUGUAUUUGAAGAUGCACCAAAUCAUUUACUAAUUCGAAAUUGAUUUAAAAAGAGACAUCAAACUGUUAACAAAGCAACCUUUUACUUUCUUACUAUACUAAAGAUAGGUUGUUAUAUCAUGAAAUGAAAAGAUGACUUUAACUAAACUACUGCAAACUUUUCAAGAAUCAAUAUUCAAUAUGGUCACAUUUAAACCAAAAACUUAGCCAAAACAGAGAUAUUGAACUAAUUAACUAGAUUAGAUACGAUAUCUAAUCACAUACACAAUAUUAAACAAAACAAAUAAAUUGACAAGAACAACCCUUUAGCAGACAGAUUUCAACGAAUAUUCAAGAGUUUAGAACUCCCUUUUUUUAUGAUUAAACAUAAGUAUGUGCUGCAAUAAUAGUUUAAGUACGCAUGAUCCAUAAUAGUAUAUCUAAAAUUAAUACUAACUUUCAAACUAAAGCUAUUACAGAGAAGCAUGAGCUUAUGUAUUACUUAUAAAAUUUAAACAAAGCAAACAGACUACUGUAACCUUCACGGUUCCCAUACUUCAAUAAAUUCUAACAUAAUUUUUAAACAGAUUAAAAACUUAAAUUAAGAAAAUAAAGGAAGAAAAGUUGAGGUUACCGUUUAUGGGGCAGUGAACAUGGGUCGUCGGCAAGGAUAUAUCUCCUCUUGUUCCUCCGACAAAGUCGAGCAAAUAGAGACUAGAGUAGUAGAUGAUGAUAUCAAAAUGUAGGAAGUAGUGUUCUUGUGAGUGUUCAAGUUUAUUGAGUGCUUUUUUAAGCCAGCCAGGAAGUCAUCCCCCUUAACUCCAUAAAAAUGAGAAACUUUAUAGAAAUUUUUUGAUGUUCAAAGCUUUGUAUUUGGGCGGGAUUUUUGGAUUUGGAUUUGAAUUUUGAAUAUUGGUAAACUAGAGUUGUUGUGAAUCUGUCAUCUCUGCCACAAAGAAUCAAAAUCCAAAAGUUCUUUGGCCUUUUGUGUUGACCAAAUUAAGAGGAGAGAUGAGAAUGAGGGAGGGGAAAGCAACGGUACAUAUCCUUUAGGAGAAAGAGGUGAUGUUACACCAAAAUGGAGUGACAAAUCUUUUAUGAUUAAAGAUUGAUGGAGUUUUAUCUAGAAGUAGAAAUGCUCAGGAGAAGAGAGGGACAACG